AGCUUUGCGCAGUGGCAGUAUUGUAGCCAUUAGGUUUAUCUGAGGCACGUUUAUUGCUAAUUGAAAACUUUUUCCAAAAUCAUAGAACAAAUUAAGUUUGUGAACUGAAGUAUCAAUGUAUCAUUUUAAAUG
rnacentral:snRNA from 14 species